AGAGUUUGAUCCUGGCUCAGGACGAACGCUGGCGGUGCGCCUAAUGCAUGCAAGUCGAACGAGCGACCCGGGCUUGCCCGGUUAGCUAGUGGCGGACGGCUGAGUAACACGUAAGUAAUCUGCCCCGAAGAGGGGGAUAAUCCAGAGAAAUCUGGCCUAAUACCCCGUACCUUCCUCUCCAGCCUGCUGGAUUGGAAGAAAGGUCUAGGCCGCUUUGGGAGGAGCUUGCGGCUUAUCAGGUAGUUGGUGGGGUAAUGGCCUACCAAGCCGAAGACGAGUAACCGGUGUGAGAGCACGAUCGGUCAGAGGGGGACUGAGACACGGCCCCCACUCCUACGGGAGGCAGCAGCAGGGAAUCUUGCGCAAUGGGCGAAAGCCUGACGCAGCGACACCGCGUGGAGGAUGAAGGUCUUAGGAUUGUAAACUCCUUUUAUCAGGGAAGAGAAAGGACGGUACCUGAUGAAUAAGGAUCGGCUAACUACGUGCCAGCAGCCGCGGUAAUACGUAGGAUCCGAGCGUUGUCCGAAUUUACUGGGCGUAAAGAGCGCGUAGGCGGUUUGUUAAGUCUCAUGUGUAAUCUCCCGGCUCAACUGGGAGGGGUCAUGGGAUACUGGCAGACUUGAGGAUAGCAGAGGAAAGCGGAAUUCCCGGAGUAGUGGUGAAAUGCGUAGAUACCGGGAGGAACACCAGAGGCGAAGGCGGCUUUCUGGGCUAUUUCUGACGCUGAGGCGCGAAAGCGUGGGGAGCGAACCGGAUUAGAUACCCGGGUAGUCCACGC
rnacentral:rRNA from 1 species